GGGUCGUAGUUCAGUUGGUUAGAAUGCCGGCCUGUCACGCCGGAGGUCGCGAGUUCGAGUCUCGUCGGCCC
rnacentral:tRNA from 1 species